CAAUAGCGUAUAUUAAAGUUGUUGCAGUUAAAAAGCUCGUAGUUGGAUUUCUGGUCGGAGCGACCGGUCGGCGUCCUUUGUGGCGUGUGCACUGUUGUCGGCUCCGUCCAUCCUAGUGGGAAGGCGCGUUGGCAUUCAUUUGUCGGCGCGUGGCCCCGCUACGUUUACUGUGAAAAAAUUAGAGUGUUUAAAGCAGGCGUUCGCUGUGAAUACAUUAGCAUGGAAUAAUGAGAUAGGACUUUGGUACUAUUUUGUUGGUUUCUAGAGCUGAGGUAAUGAUUAAUAGGGAUAGUUGGGGGCAUCCGUAUUUAACUGUCAGAGGUGAAAUUCUUGGAUUUGUUAAAGACGAACUACUGCGAAAGCAUUUGCCAGGGAUGUUUUCAUUGAUCAAGAACGAAAGUUAGGGAUCGAAGACGAUCAGAUACCGU
rnacentral:rRNA from 1 species